UUUCGCCGCACAAUCCAGAAGAAUCU
rnacentral:piRNA from 1 species